CCCUAUCCGUCGUGGGCGUAGGAAAUUUGAGAGGAGCUGUCCUUAGUACGAGAGGACCGGGAUGGACAUACCUCUGGUGUACCAGUUGUCGUGCCAACGGCAUAGCUGGGUAGCUAUGUGUGGACGGGAUAAGUGCUGAAAGCAUCUAAGCAUGAAGCCCCCCUCAAGAUGAGAUUUCCCAACUUCGGUUAUAAGAUCCCUCAAAGAUGAUGAGGUUAAUAGGUUCGAGGUGGAAGCAUGGUGACAUGUGGAGCUGACGAAUACUAAUCGAUCGAAGACUUAAUCAA
rnacentral:rRNA from 1 species